AGUGAACGCUGGCGGUAGGCCUAACACAUGCAAGUCGAACGGCAGCACAGUAAGAGCUUGCUCUUACGGGUGGCGAGUGGCGGACGGGUGAGGAAUACAUCGGAAUCUACUUUUUCGUGGGGGAUAACGUAGGGAAACUUACGCUAAUACCGCAUACGACCUACGGGUGAAAUCAGGGGAUCUUCGGACCUUGCGCGAUUGAAUGAGCCGAUGUCGGAUUAGCUAGUUGGCGGGGUAAAGGCCCACCAAGGCGACGAUCCGUAGCUGGUCUGAGAGGAUGAUCAGCCACACUGGAACUGAGACACGGCCCAGACUCCUACGGGAGGCAGCAGUGGGGAAUAUUGGACAAUGGGCGAAAGCCUGAUCCAGCAAUACCGCGUGGGUGAAGAAGGCCUUCGGGUUGUAAAGCCCUUUUGUUGGGAAAGAAAAGCAGCAGGUUAAUACCACGCUGUUCUGACGGUACCCAAAGAAUAAGCACCGGCUAACUUCGUG
rnacentral:rRNA from 1 species